CUUCAGAAUUUCUCCAAUUGUUUCAAUAUCAGCACUGAUACUCAAUAUGUUCUCUGAGUCACUGCUGUCUGUGACUGAAACACUGACAUUGUAGUCUGAGAUAGGAAGAGCCUACAUCUGAACUC